rnacentral:rRNA from 1 species
CCCUUAGAGUUUGAUCCUGGCUCAGAACAAACGCUGGCGGCGUGCCUAAUACAUGCAAGUCGAACGAUGUAGCAAUACAGAGUGGCGCACGGGAGAGUAACACGUGGAUAAUCUUCCUUUUAGUGGGGAACAACUUUCCGAAAGGAAAGCUAAUACCGCAUAAGACCACAGUGACUACGGUCGCAGGGGUUAAAGGUGGAACCUUCGGGUCUAUCGCUAAAAGAUGAGUCUGCGCUCGAUUAGCUAGUUGGCGGGGUAAUGGCCCACCAAGGCGACGAUCGAUAGCUGGUCUGAGAGGAUGACCAGCCUCACUGGAACUGAGACACGGUCCAGACUCCUACGGGAGGCAGCAGUAGGGAAUAUUGCACAAUGGGGGAAACCCUGAUGCAGCGACGCCGCGUGAGUGAUGAAGGCCUUCGGGUCGUAAAGCUCUGUUGUACGGGAAGAAAUGUUCAUGACUAAUACUCAUGAGUUUUGACGGUGCCGUAUCAGAAAGGACCGGCUAACUUCGUGCCAGCAGCCGCGGUAAGACGAGGGGUCCUAGCGUUGUUCGGAAUCACUGGGCGUAAAGCGUAUGUAGGCGGGCUUUUAAGUCAGGUGUGAAAUCCCAUGGCUCAACCAUGGAAUUGCAUUUGAAACUGGAAGUCUUGAGUGUGGGGAGAGAUUGGUAGAAUACCUGGUGUAGUGGUGAAAUACGUAGAUAUCAGGUGGAAUACCGGUGGCGAAGGCGGCCAAUCGGCCCAACACUGACGCUGAGAUACGAAAGCGUGGGGAUCAA